rnacentral:rRNA from 1 species
UACGUAGGGUGCAAGCGUUAAUCGGAAUUACUGGGCGUAAAGCGUGCGCAGGCGGUUUUGUAAGUUAGAGGUGAAAGCCCGGGGCUCAACCCCGGAAUUGCCUUUAAGACUGCAUCGCUUGAAUCCAGGAGAGGUGAGUGGAAUUCCGAGUGUAGAGGUGAAAUUCGUAGAUAUUCGGAAGAACACCAGUGGCGAAGGCGGCGUCCUGGACCAAUACUGACACUGAAACGCGAAAGCCAGGGGAGCAAACGGG